AGAAUAUAUAUAGAGAGUUAGGCUCCUAUAUUUUUGAAAGUACGGGAGCCUCCAUACUUAUAAGUUGUUUUCAAUAAUAGAGCAUCUAAUUCGGCAAUCGGUUUCAUUAGACAUGAUCUACGUUGUUGGAAUUACUUAGAAACCAAAUUUCAUAAUUUUUUGAUUUCGUUUGUCUAGUAAACGAGUAGCCUCAAAAUGAAUGGCUGAAAAUAAAAAUCUCAUAAAAAACAGUGAUAAAGGACUCAAAUUUCAAAUCGAAAGUAUUAGUCUUAUUAUUGAUGUUAAGUAGAAUUUUUUAUUAAAUUUUUAUCUAAUUUGGAUACUUCUAUACCGUUGAACUUAAAAACGUGCCAUAUCAGCCAUUAAAAUAGUCAUUUUGUAGACCGCAAUUGCCUACAUUUUAAAAAAUCCAAAUAAACCAAAAGUACUUUUACCCCUUUUUCUGUUUAUGCUAUAAAUUACGACCGCAAUUGCCACCCGAGAAUAUAUAUAUAUAUAUAGAGUCCGGCUAUGGUACUUGUAAAAGCACCAAUCAUUUUGUGCUUGUAGGUUUUUAACCGUUAGAUCAGCACUGUUGAUCAUUUACACCCGUUAAAUUAUACUAUUCAACCAACCACCCACUCAACCCUAGGGGCCCACAUCAUCCUAACCACAUAUUUUUUAAUCUAAAGGCUAAAAACUUACAAGCACUAAUGUCUUGGUACUUUUAAAAGCAUAGGAGCUCAAUUCUAUAUAUAUAUAUAUAUAGAAUUAGGCUACUAUACUAUCGGUAGCACGGAGCGCUCCGUGCUACCAAGUUGUUUUCGAUGAUACGACUUCCAAAUCGACGAUCGGCUCCGUUAGACUUGAUCUACACUAUUGAAAGUAUUUAGAAACUAAAUUUCAUAAUUUUUCGAUAUCAUUUACCUAUCAAACAAGUAGUCUAAAAUUGAACGGCUGAAAAUAAAAAUCUCAUGAAAAAUGAUGAUAAAAGAUUUAAAUUCAAGAUCAGAUAUACUGAUCUUACUCUAAAUAGUGAAAAGAAUUUUCUAUAAAAUUUUCAUCGC
rnacentral:lncRNA from 1 species